rnacentral:rRNA from 1 species
GAACGCUGGCGGCGUGCUUAACACAUGCAAGUCGAACGGAAAGGCCCUUCGGGGUACUCGAGUGGCGAACGGGUGAGUAACACGUGGGUGAUCUGCCCUGCACUUUGGGAUAAGCCUGGGAAACUGGGUCUAAUACCGAAUACACCCUUCUGGCUGCAUGGUCUGGUUGGGGAAAGCUUUUGCGGUGUGGGAUGGGCCCGCGGCCUAUCAGCUUGUUGGUGAGGUUACGGCUCACCAAGGCGACGACGGGUAGCCGGCCUGAGAGGGUGACCGGCCACACUGGGACUGAGAUACGGCCCAGACUCCUACGGGAGGCAGCAGUGGGGAAUAUUGCACAAUGGGCGCAAGCCUGAUGCAGCGACGCCGCGUGAGGGAUGACGGCCUUCGGGUUGUAAACCUCUUUCGCCAGGGACGAAGCGCAAGUGACGGUACCUGGAGAAGAAGGACCGGCCAACUACGUGCCAGCAGCCGCGGUAAUACGUAGGGUCCGAGCGUUGUCCGGAAUUACUGGGCGUAAAGAGCUCGUAGGUGGUUUGUCGCGUUGUUCGUGAAAACUCACAGCUCAACUGUGGGCGUGCGGGCGAUACGGGCAGACUGGAGUACUGCAGGGGAGACUGGAAUUCCUGGUGUAGCGGUGGAAUGCGCAGAUAUCAGGAGGAACACCGGUGGCGAAGGCGGGUCUCUGGGCAGUAACUGACGCUGAGGAGCGAAAGCGUGGGGAGCGAACAGGAUUAGAUACCCUGGUAGUCCACGCCGUAAACGGUGGGUACUAGGUGUGGGUUUCCUUCCUUGGGAUCCGUGCCGUAGCUAACGCAUUAAGUACCCCGCCUGGGGAGUACGGCCGCAAGGCUAAAACUCAAAGAAAUUGACGGGGGCCCGCACAAGCGGCGGAGCAUGUGGAUUAAUUCGAUGCAACGCGAAGAACCUUACCUGGGUUUGACAUGCACAGGACGUGCCUAGAGAUAGGUAUUCCCUUGUGGCCUGUGUGCAGGUGGUGCAUGGCUGUCGUCAGCUCGUGUCGUGAGAUGUUGGGUUAAGUCCCGCAACGAGCGCAACCCUUAUCUUAUGUUGCCAGCGCGUAAUGGCGGGGACUCGUGAGAGACUGCCGGGGUCAACUCGGAGGAAGGUGGGGAUGACGUCAAGUCAUCAUGCCCCUUAUGUCCAGGGCUUCACACAUGCUACAAUGGCCGGUACAAAGGGCUGCGAUGCCGUGAGGUGGAGCGAAUCCUUUCAAAGCCGGUCUCAGUUCGGAUCGGGGUCUGCAACUCGACCCCGUGAAGUCGGAGUCGCUAGUAAUCGCAGAUCAGCAACGCUGCGGUGAAUACGUU